CCCAUGGGGGGUCGGCUAGCAUGCAGCGGAGGGCGCGGUCGCAAGAUCGUGGCCCCGCACACGGCUCAGUGACACGUAGUCAACCUACCUUUGGGACGGGGACAACCUCGGGAAACUGAGAAUAAUCCCCGAUAGGCGAGAGACGCUGGGAUGCCCUCUCGCUCAAAGCUCCGGCGCCCGAGGAUGGGACUGCGGCCUAUCAGGCUGUUGGUGGUGUGACGGACCACCAAACCUACGACGGGUACGGGCGAUGGGAGUCGGAGCCCGGAGAUGGGGACUGAGACAAGGCCCCAGGUCCUACGGGGCGCAGCAGGCGCGAAAACUCCGCAAUGCGCGCAAGCGUGACGGGGGGACCCCAAGUGCCGUUGGUCUUUUGAUCGACGGCUUUUCGGAAGUCUAAGAAGCUUCCGGAAUAAGGGCUGGGUAAGGCUGGUGCCAGCCGCCGCGGUAACACCAGCAGCCCAAGUGGUGGCCGCGAUUAUUGGGCCUAAAGCGCUCGUAGCCGGAUCAACAAGUCCUUUGUGAAAUCGGGCCGCCCAACGGUUCGGCGUGCAAAGGAUACUGUUGGUCUUGAGGCCGGGAGAGGCUGAAGGUACUCCUGGGGUAGCGGUGAAAUGCUCUAAUCCUAGGGGGACCACCAGUGGCGAAGGCGUUCGACCAGAACGGACCUGACGGUGAGGGGCGAAAGCUAGGGGAGCGAACGGGAUUAGAUACCCCGGUAGUCCUAGCUGUAAAGCAUGCGGGCCAGGUGUCUAGUGCUCCUCGGGGGCGCUAGGUGCCGGAGGGAAGCCGUUAAGCCCGCCGCCUGGGAAGUACGGUCGCAAGGCUGAAACUUAAAGAAAUUGGCGGGGGAGCACCACAAGGGGUGGAACCUGCGGUUCAAUUGGAUUCAACGCCG
rnacentral:rRNA from 1 species